rnacentral:rRNA from 1 species
GUAGGUGGCAAGCGUUGUCCGGAUUUACUGGGCGUAAAGAGCGCGCAGGCGGUCGUUCAAGUCGCGUGUGAAAGCCCCCGGCUCAACUGGGGAGGGUCACGCGAUGCUGAUCGACUCGAAGGCAGGAGAGGGAAGUGGAAUUCCCGGUGUAGUGGUGAAAUGCGUAGAUAUCGGGAGGAACACCAGUGGCGAAGGCGACUUCCUGGCCUGUUCUUGACGCUGAGGCGCGAAAGCUAGGGGAGCAAACGGGAUUAGAUACCCCGGUAGUCCUAGCCGUAAACGAUGGACACUAGGUGUUGGUGGUAUCAACCCCGCCAGUGCCGAAGCUAACGCAUUAAGUGUCCCGCCUGGGGAGUACGGCCGCAAGGCUA